rnacentral:rRNA from 1 species
GGACUACCGGGGUAUCUAAUCCUGUUUGCUCCCCUAGCUUUCGCAGAUCAGCGUCAGUGAUGGCCCAGAAGCCUGCUUUCGCCUUAGGUAUUCCUCCCGAUCUCUACGCAUUUCACCGCUACACCGGGAAUUCCAGCUUCCUCUACCACACUCCAGCCUGGCAGUAUCUGUUGACCUCUCCCAGUUAGGCCGGGAGCUUUCACAACAAACUUGCCAAACCGCCUGCCUGCGCUUUACGCCUAGUGAUUCCGAGUAACGCUUGCCACCUACGUAUUACCGCGGCUGCUGGCAC